AAGGAUCAUUACCGAGUGUAGGGCUCUAACCGAGCCCGAAUCUCCUAACCCUUUGCUGAUUGAAUUUUGUUGCUUCGGCGUGGCGUGACUUCACGGUCCCGUCGGCUAUGGCUGGUGCGUCCAUGCCGAAGGAUUAUCCAAAAUCGUUCAAAUUAUUGUCUUAAUUGUUUUUAUCAAUGUUUAAAAACUUUCAACAACGGAUCUCUUGGUUCUGGCAUCGAUGAAGAACGCAGCGAAAUGCGAUAAGUAAUGUGAAUUGCAGAAUUCAGUGAAUCAUCGAAUCUUUGAACGCACAUUGCGCCCUUCGGUAUUCCGGGGGGCAUGUCUGUUCGAGCGUCGCAAACGUAAGAUCAAACGAUUUAUUGUUUGGAAUUAGGAGUGUGUCUUUUUGACACGUCCCUGAAAAUUAUUGGCAGAUUGGGAUAGACCUUUUAACGCGUUGACCAACUUUUCGUUAGAGGUACGUCUGCUCGGUUUUGCCGGUCAAACUUUAUGUGUGGUCACACACAUGAUCUCUAUAAUCGACCUCGGAUCAGAUAGGAAUACCCGCUGAACUUAA
rnacentral:rRNA from 1 species